rnacentral:lncRNA from 1 species
CUGAAUAUUCCUUUACUGUAGCACAAUCUGGCAUGACUGCCUUUAAAUGAAAUCUGUAUUUCACAUCAAUUUGAAAUCAGCACAUCAUACAAUUUUUAAAAGGAAAUUUAGCUAUUUACCCCUCUACAGAAUCACUGAUUUGACAAUAAAUAUUUUUGAGAAAAUAUAAGAAAAUAAACUUUCUAAAUAAGCAAUUUACAUUGAUAUUCUAUAUUUAAAUUAUGUUUUAUAAAAGCAUGCGCUUUGGAGUCAGAUCUGGAUUUGAAUCCUGAUUCUACCACUCAAUAUGUAAUAUAUAUAAAGAGCUUAGCAGCGUUCAAGGCACACAGUAAAUCCUCAAAUGUUAGCUGUUAUUAUUUCUAAUCAAAGCAGUGGUGGCUGCUAUUUAUAAACACUACUAUGCAUGCUUUAUGUACAUUAUUGCAUUUGUUCCUCCUAAUUAUUCAAUUAAUAUUAUCCCUGUUGAAUACACAAAAACACUGAGGUUCAGAAAAAGUUGAGAAACAGGCCCAAGGUCUGAGUGUGUCAGAAGCCAAAGCGCCAAUGCUACUGACCACUAAAUUGUUGCUUCUUAAACUGGGGUCCAUGUUGAUGAAACAUUUUAAAAUAAUAUUCAUGCUCUGAAUUAUUUGGAUAAUUGUAUUAAAACCAAAUAUUGGCAGAACCAUCUCAGUGCUUAGGUUUGUAUUUGUAUUGACUUCCCUGUUAAGGCCCAGUUCUACAUUAGUGGUGGAAGGCUUAUGGAGAACAGAGGCUGUUUUAAUAGGGGAAUGAUGGAUUCAGGCUAGAUGAGGACCAAAUAACAUCACUAUGUGCUGAACAAAUUAAAGUAAUAGUCUGAAUAGGAGAAAACAGGGUGAAUUGGGUCAUCACAUAGUACAUGGCAGUACAUGCCUGUUGAACUGAAAAGAGCCUGUACUGUAGCACUCAGUACCAUAAUCACAUUACAAGUGACAAUUUCAUUUUGUCAAAACAUCACUAUUUAAUACUAUUUUAAAUUUUAUUAGUUUUAUAGUUUUGCUUGUGUUAACCCAUAAACUUGUUUUGGUUUUAUACUUGUGCAAGACAUAUAAACAUAAAGCAUUUAUACCUAGUUUUAUGUUUAUAUAUAUUUAGAUAACAUUAUAAUAAAUAUAAAUUAAGCAAAAACUGAGGAGCUAAGAGAUUUUUUUCCUUAUUAAAAAGUGAAGUACAUUAUUCAGUUUGAGAAAACUGGUCUACACGGUCGGUCCUGCUUGUGAAUGUCGUCUUCAGGAGGUAACUUCUAUUAUCACCAACCUCACAGGAUUUGUAAGAGCAUUAGAAGAGACGAUGAACGUUAGAGUGCCUGGACCACAGGAAGAAUUACAAUGACAGUUCUGUCUCCUUUCCUUGAAAGAGAAAAUCUGGAAGCUAAAUGCAGUCUAUACUCUUUUACUCUAACUAUGGUCUGGGGACCAGGAGAAUUGAUAACACCUAAGAGCUUGUUAGAAACUGAUAAUCCCAGAGGCCACCCCAGAACUAUUGAAUCUGAAUCUCCAUUUAAUAAUAUCCUCAGCUGAUUUGAUACAUGCACAUGAAAGUUUGGGAAACACUAGUCCAGGUCUCCACAGAGAAUGUUGACUAAAAUUCACUGAGUUUUUAACUACUCUUAAGGUUAACUUUGGUAAUUAGAGAAAGACCUCAUGUAAAUGGUCAAAAAAUAAUGUCCCAUCCUGGGGUUCAAUAUAAACACUAUUAUUUCACUAUUGAUUCUUCAUAGGCUAUAUUUGUAUAGAGUGAGACCCUCUUUAAAAGGGAUCUAACUUCUAAUUCAGAAUGAGCAAAAAAUAUUUUAAAAUACAAAGUUUUCAUAAAAGCUUUCUGAAUUUUCAGUAAGCAAAUUGUAAGAUCUGUCAAUUUAAGCAUUUUUAGGUUUCCUUCGCCCAAUACCAAUUAAAAUCAUUUAUAUAUGUUAAGCUCUUAAAUAUUUAGCUCACAAGAUCUGGUCUAACAAAGUCCUGUCUCAGUCUGUGAUGACUGUGUGCUUACGUUAACGAAACACAUUACAAAAAAAAAAGGUAUGACUGUGUAUAUAAAAUGUAUUAGCUUUACUGUCCAACAAAAGUAUCAGAUCACAUUCUGCAGUUGUGAUUUUGUUAGUGUAAUUCACCUACAGAAUACCUAUGCUUUUCUUCCUGAACUCAGUGGUCCUAUACAUUUAAGGCAUACUGUACUUGAAAAGAUUCAAAGAUGCUGUUCUUAAAAGUGUAAAAAAUAACUAAUAUACAAGAGAGUCACUAAUAUCUAAAAUGAUCUUGAUACCAUCUGUUUAAGGACUAGUUCAGUAAGACUCAAAGAUUGAACUAGGUUAUUUAUUGCUCUAUGUUCUCUACAUAUGGACCACAGAAGUCCGACUCAAAGAAUGUAAAACAAGGCAGAUUAUGCAUAUAUGUGUGUGUGCAUGCAUGUAUAUGUAUAUAUGGUUAGGCCUACCAGGCAAUCCUUAUCAUCUCUGGGUUUAUGAUAUGACCUAGAUUAUAGGUAUGUUAUGAACUGAAUGCUUAUGUUCUCCUCCUCGUCUGCAAAUUCAUAUGUUGAAGCCCUAACAUACAAAGUGAUGGCAUUUGGAGGUGGGGCCUCUGGGUGGUAAUCAUGUCAUGAGGGUGGAGCCCUCAUGAAUGAGAUUAGUGCCCUUAUAAGAAGAGACAGGAAAGUAACGAUGUCUCUCUCUCUCUGCCAAGUGAGAAUACAGCAAGAAGCCAGAAGAGGGCCCUCAUCAGGAAUUGCGCUGGAUGGCACUUUGAUCUUGGGGUUUCUCAGCCUCCAACUGUGAGAAAUAAAUGUGUUUUGUUACGCCACCCAGUUUACGGUAUUCACCCAAAAUGACUAAGGUAAGGUAAAGCCCUCCUUUCAUUCUUCAUGGUCUUUUUGCAAAACAAGAGUUAAUUAUAUGCCAAGAAGCAUUAGUGCCAGCACAGUUAAAACACUCUAGCGCACGUUAAUUAUGAUGAUUACAACUUAAGAAAACUAUAAUCAGAAACCUGGCCAGGCACAGUGGCUUAUGCCUGUAAUCUGGCACUUUGAGAAGCCAAGGUGGGCAGAUCACCUGAGGUCAGGAAUUCGAGAGCAGCCUGGCCAACAUGGUGAAACCCCGUCUCUACUAAAAAUACAAAAAUUAGCCGGGCAUGGUGGUGCAUGUCUAUAAUCUCACUUACUGGGGAGGCUGAGACAGGAGAAUCUCUUGAACCCAGGAGACAGAGAUUACAGUGAGCCGAGAUCGUGCCAUUGCACUCCAGCCUGGGUGACCAAAAAAAAAAAAAAAGUACAGUAAGGCCCUUUAAAAAAAAAAAAGAAAAAGAAAAAGAAACCUAACUAACUCCAGUUUUCAAGGUGUUUUUAUAUUAUCCUGCAGUUCUUUUGGUCCUUAAUACAAUCAAUCCACUGCCACUAGAACCAUGUAACUCUCCUCUAUAUAGUACUUCAAAUUCUAAUCAUUUCUGUGCAUAUAUUAAGCAAUUUAAACUCUAUAUACAUACAUACUGUCAAUGUAUCGGGGAAAUACAAAGAGUGAUCUUUAGUUUAUGCUGAAUACUUAAUUUUAUCACUUCUCCAUUAACUGUUAUAAAGACAAGACUAAACCUACAGUUUGAAUUCAUUAAACAAUAUCCAAGCAAACAGAAAAGAAGAGGAAAUAGGCAAGCCAUGUUUUUCUACUAGAGUGACUAUACUUAUCCCUCUUUAAAAAGAAGUGAUAUUUUCAAUUUCAGAAAUUUGAUUAAAAAACUACAUCUAUUUUUCCUACCAAAAAUACUCAAAAAACCCUCUGCUAAUUACUCUCAAAAUACUGCAGAUGUAUUCCUUUGAAAAAGGAAAUACAGGAUGGGCACGGUGGCUCAUACUGGUAAGCCCAACACUUUGGGAGGCCGAGGCAGGAAGAUCACUUGAGGUCAGGAGUUUGAGACCAGUCUGGCCAACAUGGUGAAACCCUGUCUCUACUGAAAAAAAAAAAAAAAAAAAAAAAAAUUAGCCAGGCAUGGUGGCAGGCACCUGUAGUCCCAGCUACUAGGGAGGCUGAGGCAGGAGAACCACUUAAACCUGGGAGGCCGAGGCUGCAGUGAGCCGAGAUCACACCAUUGCACUCCAGCUUGGGUGACAGAGUAAGACUGUCUCCAAAAAAAAAAGAAAAAGAAAAAGGAAAUAUAAAGCAUCCGCCAAUGAAACAUAAUAUACAUUAAAGGAGAAAACGUCUUUAAAAUAUGUACCAUUUGCCCUCACGAGUCUAAUAAAGGCUGAACCUUUUUUAAGAGGUAAUUUUCACUAUCAAGAAACUUGGAUAUAGAUGAAUUAAGAACCCAAAUACACGUGGAAGCAAGAAGUGUACUUGUUUUAAAAAUCAUAUUAUGCCUUGCAUGAUUAAUAAAUUAAUAUUUUAUAACUUGUGUCUUCAACAAUUCAAUUAGCAUUUGGCAUGACCAAAGUUUAAUUAAAUUAAAGACUUGGUGGUGCUUUGAAUUAACAUCAGAUGCUGGUGGUCAUCUCCAUCCAGUAUCCCCUUUAUCCUCUAAUAUGUCCUUGAAAAUGGCAUGUAUUAUUCAGGCUAAACCUUUUCACAAAGGCAGAUUGGUAUACCAAAUGUUGCUUAAUCAUUUCAAUAUCAAGGUCAUUAUAUUUCUCCUCUAGGAUUUGGUACUUUGAAGCAACUUCAUUCUAUAACACUUUAGACAUCUAUAAAAGCAUGAACUUGGUCCCACAUCAAAUUUAGUUUCAGUGAGAAGAGUGGUCCUUAUCUUUCUUUAGUCAUCAUUGAAUUAUAAAACACAGUUGAUAUGUAUAUAGUUCUGUAUCACCUUUAUACCCUAGGACAUCAAUUGUACUAAAAUCUCAGCAUAUGUAGAAUCCUGCUUGUGUUACUAAACAUUAAUAUACUGGUAUGAAUAUAGCAAAGGAACAUCCUUUCAAAAUCAUUGCCUGUAAGAAAUUGUAUAUAUAAAUUUGCUUCCUUUCAAAUUGGCAAAGUAGCUUACGGCCUCUAUUAUCUCUACAGAAAAUGGUUUGGGCCAGGUUCUUGAGGUAGCCAAGUUCCCCUUUAACAAAGAAAAGUUGGCAGACUUUCAUAGCUGCUCCUUGUGAAGAAGAUACCUCAAAUAUGAUCUCACGAUUGACUGUAGAAGAUGAAGUUAAAGUUGCAGACUUUUAAGGUACAGUGCCCAAGGGGUUAAAAAAAAAGUACUGUUUGAGAGAAAGCUUAACAUCCGACAUCUGACUGGCUGCCUGGAUGUGAUGACCUAGGGGACAUAAGAGAAAAUCUUAACAUAGAUGUAUAUAUAAGGAUCAAGUAAUUUUGAGGUCUGACACAAAGAAAAUGUGUUCAAUACAUGCAAAAGAUAAGAACCUUUAUCUAAAAAAUGUAAAGUCUCUUCUUGUUUAUAUGGGAAAAUACAGGAUGAAUUUAAUGCACUAUAGGGG